rnacentral:rRNA from 1 species
AUUGAACGCUGGCGGCAGGCCUAACACAUGCAAGUCGAGCGGAUGAAGGGAGCUUGCUCCUGGAUUCAGCGGCGGACGGGUGAGUAAUGCCUAGGAAUCUGCCUGGUAGUGGGGGAUAACGUCCGGAAACGGGCGCUAAUACCGCAUACGUCCUGAGGGAGAAAGUGGGGGAUCUUCGGACCUCACGCUAUCAGAUGAGCCUAGGUCGGAUUAGCUAGUUGGUGGGGUAAAGGCCUACCAAGGCGACGAUCCGUAACUGGUCUGAGAGGAUGAUCAGUCACACUGGAACUGAGACACGGUCCAGACUCCUACGGGAGGCAGCAGUGGGGAAUAUUGGACAAUGGGCGAAAGCCUGGUCCAGGCAUGCCGCGUGUGUGAAGAAGGUCUUCGGAUUGUAAAGCACUUUAAGUUGGGAGAAAGGGCAGUAAGUUAAUACCUUGCUGUUUUGACGUUACCAACAGAAUAAGCACCGGCUAACUUCGUG